rnacentral:rRNA from 1 species
CCUACGGGAGGCAGCAGUGGGGAAUUUUCCGCAAUGGGCGAAAGCCUGACGGAGCAACGCCGCGUGAGGGAUGAAGGCCUCUGGGCUGUAAACCUCUUUUAUCAAGGAAGAAGAUCUGACGGUACUUGAUGAAUAAGCCACGGCUAAUUCCGUGCCAGCAGCCGCGGUAAUACGGGAGUGGCAAGCGUUAUCCGGAAUUAUUGGGCGUAAAGCGUCCGCAGGCGGUCUUGUAAGUCUGUCGUUAAAGCGUGGAGCUCAACUCCAUUUCGGCGGUGGAAACUACAAGACUAGAGUGUGGUAGGGGCAGAGGGAAUUCCCGGUGUAGCGGUGAAAUGCGUAGAUAUCGGGAAGAACACCAGUGGCGAAGGCGCUCUGCUGGGCCAUAACUGACGCUCAUGGACGAAAGCUAGGGGAGCGAAAGGGAUUAGAUACCCCUGUAGUCCUAGCCGUAAACGAUGAACACUAGGUGUCGGGGGAAUCGACCCCCUCGGUGUCGUAGCUAACGCGUUAAGUGUUCCGCCUGGGGAGUACGCACGCAGUGUGAACUUAAAUAGAAUUAGACGG